rnacentral:rRNA from 1 species
UACGUAGGGUGCAAGCGUUAAUCGGAAUUACUGGGCGUAAAGCGUGCGCAGGCGGUUUUGUAAGUCUGUUGUGAAAUCCCCGGGCUUAACCUGGGAACUGCAUUUGUGACUGCAUAGCUAGAGUACGGUAGAGGGGGAUGGAAUUCCGCGUGUAGCAGUGAAAUGCGUAGAUAUGCGGAGGAACACCGAUGGCGAAGGCAAUCCCCUGGACCUGUACUGACGCUCAUGCACGAAAGCGUGGGGAGCAAACAGG